AUGCAGUCGAACGAGAAAGUGGAGCAAUCCAUGUAGUAAAGUGGCGUACGGGCUGCCUUUNCACGGUGGUAUCAUCUGCCCUAGAGUGGGGAAUAACCAGGGNAAACCUUGGCUAAUACCGCAUAAUCCCGAGAGGGGAAAGCCGAAAGGCGCUCAAGGAGGAGUCCGCGGUCGAUUAGCUAGUUGGUAGGGUAAAGGCCUACCAAGGCAACGAUCGAUAGCCGGCCUGAGAGGGCACACGGCCACACUGGCACUGAAACACGGGCCAGACUCCUACGGGAGGCAGCAGUGGGGAAUCUUGCACAAUGGAGGAAACUCUGAUGCAGCGACGCCGCGUGAGCGAUGAAGCCCUUCGGGGUGUAAAGCUCUUUCGUCAGGGAAGAUAGUGACGGUACCUGGAGAAGCAGCUGCGGCUAACUACGUGCCAGCAGCCGCGGUAAUACGUAGACAGCAAGCGUUGUUCGGAGUUACUGGGCGUAAAGGGUGUGUAGGCGGCCUUCUAAGUUUGGUGUGAAAUCUCCCGGCUCAACCGGGAGGGUGCGCCGAAGACUGGGGGGCUAGAGUAUGGGAUGGGAAAGUGGAAUUCCUGGUGUGGCGGUGAAAUGCGUAGAUAUCAGGGAGGAACACCUGCGGUGUAGACGGCUUUCUGGACCAUAACUGACGCUGAGACACGAAAGCGUGGGUAGCAAACAGGAUUAGAUACCCUGGGUAGUCCACGCCCUAAACGAUGCAUAUUUGGUGUGGGCCAUUCAUUUGGUCCGUG
rnacentral:rRNA from 1 species